rnacentral:piRNA from 1 species
GCACAAAUGGCCUGAUAAGCUAUGUUAAUG